rnacentral:lncRNA from 1 species
ACAAAUAGUGUUUAAUAUUACUUUGCAGGGAUUAGACAGUCGAUAAAUGUAAGGGCCUGAAAUAAAUAAGGCUAUUGGGUCUUAUGUUAAGGCAGUUAGGCCCAUAGACUAAGGGUACCUUAGCCUUAGAAGGGACUUUUCAGAAAUCCAAGUUCAUUACACAAUUUUCCUUUCUCUCUCUAAAAAAACAAAAACCCUUUUUCCCUAAAAGGUUUUCUGCCUUCUCUCUAGAAUUCCCACUCACUGAACCAUGCAAUCCUUAAAUUGAAGGUACUCCUGCGUUCGCAACGUGAAGGGCUUCCUCUUUCACCGAUUAUUUUCUCUGUUUCAUUCCGGUAAGAAAUUUUCCUAUUUCCUCCACUGAUUUUGGCACUUAGGGUUUGGGGGUUCUACUGAUUUCAAGCAGUUAGAACUGUCCUUUUCUAAUUCCUCUUAGGUUCUAACUCUAAGAACUAUUUCUACCACUGAAAUGGUGGUUAUAGGUGCUGUCGUGUUCGGUCUGUGUAAGACUCUGUUAGGCAUCUCCAAUUAGCUGUGUUUGAGAAAAAACCAGGUAAGGGGAGCUAACUAUAUAAAUAUUUUGUUGUUUUGAUUAAUUCCUGAAUUUAUGAGAAAAUAUGUUGAAUUGCGUUUGUACACUGGUUAACUCUGUUUUAAUGCUCUAUGCACGUUAAAUUUAACUGUGAUAUAUUGUUUGAUAUUUAAUUGUCUCUGUUUUAAGUAUUUGGUCUUGGAAUGUUUUGAACCUUUGGUUUAUUCUCUAUGUUUGAUUGUGAUGGUUAUAAUCCGCAUAGAAUUGUGUUGCUGAACUGAAUUUCAUUGAAUUGAUGAUCCUGGGAAUGAUUCNNNUUUGUAUAUUGAUUAUGAUGUGCUCUGAAGGAAUUUGAUGAAUCUGGUUGCUGGAAUAAGUUGGGGGUGAUACUGAUUUGAUGGGAAAUAUGGGUUGAGUGUAGCCUCAGGUAUUGUGAGAGGGAUGUAUAACUUUGGGAAUUAGGGAACUAAAAAAAAAUAAUAGGAUAGUUGAUUAAAUCAAAUAAAAAUACUUGGGACUUGUUGGGAACCUUCUCUGUUGGUAGGAUAGAGAGAACCUAAAAACCAGAGCCGUACAUCCCUGAUCAUAGAGCAGCCCUGGCCUGGUCCAGUCAGUUGUGACUAGUCAUAUGUGUUGGUGUCGAAGGUGAGUCUGAUGCGUUAGACAUCUGUUCUCUCUCCGGUGACCAAUUGGGGUACGAGAAGGAUUGGGAAAAAUAUAGAGUUCUUAGGCUAGUUAUAUAACCAGCAAGGAAAUUGGGUAGUGAGAUGAGAUUANGAACAAGUAUCUUGUGGUAAUGAAAAAUNUAACAGAGCAACUCAUUUUUACUCUAGGAACAAGUUAAAAUGAACAAAUUAGUUUAAAUAGACAUGUAUAUAUAAUUUAGUUAAUGUAUGUAACAUA